CAGUCGCCGCGGGAAUACGUAGGUGGCAAGCGUUGUCCGGAAUUAUUGGGCGUAAAGGGCUCGCAGGCGGUUUCUUAAGUCUGAUGUGAAAGCCCCCGGCUCAACCGGGGAGGGUCAUUGGAAACUGGGAAACUUGAGUGCAGAAGAGGAGAGUGGAAUUCCACGUGUAGCGGUGAAAUGCGUAGAGAUGUGGAGGAACACCAGUGGCGAAGGCGACUCUCUGGUCUGUAACUGACGCUGAAGAGCGAAAGCGUGGGGAGCGAACAGGAUUAGAUACCCGGGUAGUCCCUGUCUCUUAUAC
rnacentral:rRNA from 1 species